AACGUAGGUUCCGAGCGUUAUCCGGAUUUACUGGGCGUAAAGCGCGUUCAGGCGGUUUGGCAAGUCGGGCAUGAAAUCUCUCGGCUCAACCGGGAGAGGUUGUCCGAUACUGCUGGACUUGAGGGCAGUAGAGGGUGGUGGAAUUCCGGGUGUAGUGGUGAAAUGCGUAGAUAUCCGGAGGAACACCAGUGGCGAAAGCGGCCACCUGGACUGCACCUGACGCUGACACGCGAAAGCUAGGGGAGCAAACGGG
rnacentral:rRNA from 1 species